CUGAGCUGAAGGCAGACGCUUAAUGACUGAGCCACGCAGGCGCCCCCCUGGUUCAUAUUUUUAAACAUUACCAGGAAAAGAGAUUCUGCUAGCACGGUUGAGAGUCUCACAUUUAUCCGCCAGUCCAUCCGCCACACUGUCGUGGCUCAAGGAAGGGGAAGGGUUCAUGAUACGGAAGCCGGGCAGCCUUAAGGGGCCAGCAGGUCUGGGAGACUUCUGAGCUGACGGCCCCCCAAUAGCACAGCCGGCCGUGUCUGAGGGGGUAGGCCUGCCAUCCUGCAGUUGUCAAGUGAACAGUGCCAAUCAGCUUCCAGUGAAGCCACCUCGGACACUUGAGUUUCCCAGGGAGCCCUCUGGGAGUGAGGAAGGGUGCCUUCCCCAGUGGGCUACAAUGGCAUUGGUGGGACACGUGGCCUGAGGCAAGGGAGCUCUUGCAGCUUUAAGGAACACCUGUCUGUUAGCAGUCUGACAUUUUAAGGUGGAUUACAGAAAAGUGGAAGCUAUUCAAGAUAAGAGGCUUGAAAGGGAAAGACAUGCAGAGAAGAAAUCUACCACGUCGUAACCUGUAGUCAGAGGAGGAGAGUCUUUUGCUGGGUCCCAAGUCUUGCCUGAAUCCAGAUACUCCUGCCAAAGAGGAGGAUGUUCUCUUUAAAAAGGGCACUGUGAACACAUCUUAAAUAACGACACAUCAUAGCUUGUAGUUUUAAAGCAAACGAUGACCUUAAGAUGUGCAUUUUGUUUGCUAGUGGAUUUCAGGUUAUUUCGUCAGUAUCGAGUGAAACGUUCACCUUUGGCAAUGCCUGGGGACACAUGGUUAGGGCAAAUACAGCAGGGCGGUUAAGGGCAGCAGCUUGAGAAUCGGACCUAAGUAAGACUCCCGGAUGUCCCAUUCAUCAGCCAGGUGGGCACGUUAAUUUAACCUCUCCAUAGCUCUGUGUCUUUUUUUGUAAAAUGGAAAGAAAAGGAACCUCCUUGCACGUGUGGGUGUAAGGACCAAAUGAAGUCCCGCAUGUAAGAUGCCUAGCACAGGACCUGGCGCCUUAGCAAUAGUGCUCUUUGCUAAUGGCGGGCCCAGUGCUGCUGAGAGCCUCCCCUGGACUCUCGCUGAAUGUCCACGAUGGUCAUUAAGGGGUAGGCAGGGCUGUCAUUCCCCUUCCGCGGAUGAGAUAAGUGAGGCCUGAUGAGAUUAAGCUACUUGCUCAACGUCACAGAAGAGAAGCGUUUGAAGGCAGACCUUGGGCAGGCACCAUGGGCUACACCCCCUCCAAACAGGAACGCCAUCGCCAGCCCUCCCCAGCUACUGGCUUCUCGUCCCAGCUCUCGUCUUGGUCUGUGGACCAAGAGCCCCUCCCUUGGUUCCCUGCAGGACCCCUGGGCCCUGACUCUUGCAGACAUGACAGCAUGGCCUCAGCGGCUUCGGCCUUAACCCCCGAGCCCUCCAGGCAGGACCAGUGCCACCUCCAGAUGAUGGUUUGGAGUUGAGAGACGCUUUGGAUUUGGGGGGCAGUCCAAGGACAGGGCUCAAACUGCCCUGUGUCAACGGUUUUAUCCUUACCUCGAGCAGCAGAGAUGAGGUUUGAAGCUUUCUGGAUCUUCCUGUCCCUAUCCGUCCUUUCCCUCUGAGUUGGAGGCUGGCUGUGGGAGCUGGAUGUGGCUGGUUGGGAAGGCCACACGAACCCCAUUCCAGGGAUGGGGUUUCCCAAACACAGAUCUGAGCUUCCCAACCUCCCGCACACCCCUGAGUCCCGUGCUUUUGCUGACAAGCCAGUGCUGACUCCUCCUAGCCAGAGACUCACGCCAGUCCCCUUGUGAGCAGGACCCUCACUCCCCUGUUUCUCUUGGCUCCCACCCUCUCAUCAGGGUCCUGCAGAGGUGAGAAAUGUUUGUAGAUACUGCACUAGAUAAUGUGUCUCCAACUCAAGUAGAAAAAGGCAGUUGGUUAAAAAAAGAAGUGAUGCCCAGAACUUAAUUUUAAUGAUGUGCUGUAAUGGUCUUCACUAUGUUAUGCAUUAGCAAAAUGUUUGGUAAAACUGUUGCCUUCUCUAACUUGAGAGGAACCCCACGUGCCUUCCAAGCUGGCAACCCACGGAGAAGAGGUUGGAAAGCCAGAAGCUAGUCCUCUCUGUCGGCUACUGUUGUCUGCAUUUGGUGAGGAGUUACGAGGAGGAGCUGUAAAAGGACCCUUGGACCUCCAACCGUGGACCUCAACCAUGAGCAGGAAGGAGAGUAUGCAUCCCCGCAGGACAGGCUCCACCAUACCCAUUUCAGAGGUGGCCAAAGUGGAUGGUGGCCAAGGAGGAGGCCCCCAGAUGGAAGAGCCGGGGCCAAUGCCAACAGUGAGCAGGAGUCUCCGGCAAAGCAGGACCAGUGAGUGAAGGAGCCUCCCUGCAGUGCCGUCCCUGCCCCACCACUGUAUCGGGUGCCCCAGGGGAUCCGCGUGCCUGUCUUUCUGGUCCAUGGGUCCCUGGCCCAGGAAGAGGCUCUUUGGAUGAGAAGAGGCUGGGGCACCAGUGUCACCAGAGACCCCAGGCUUCAAGCCAGAUGCAGGGACGGGAAAGGACUUUGGGUGGUGUCCCUUGGGGAGAGCGUGAGUGUGCCAUGUGUGAGAAGAAAGACCGGCUGGUUUGGCGCACAGAAGGUUGGGUUGCAGCAGAGACUACGGUGUCUGCCCACCGCACUGGCGCUUCUUCCUGAGCAUCCGGGAAGACGACAGUCUCCAGCCUGCCUUCCGUAAGGCCGGUGCUGCGGGCUUGGGACUGGACAUGGGUGGAAGUAAGGAAAGCCACUUUCCGGCCUGGCCCUUUGAAACACCCCAGGUGAUCCUCAGCCCACUCCUACCCUGCCGCAGACAUCCAAGACAUGUUCUAGAUGGGGUACCUACACGAAGGAGGAAGGUCACCUGAACUCCCAAACUGCACAAAUGAGACAUGAACCUUUCCUGUGUCAAAUCAGGGCGAUUUUGUGCUUUAUUCAUUUCCUCGUUACAGCCUGUCCUACUCUUGACUAGCACAUCUUGCUCUGUCAGACACAUAGUGCUGUUGAGCCUUGAACAAUGUGGGGGUGAAAACCCACGUACGAUUCAACUCACCAAAAACUUAACUGCUAGUAGCCUACAGUUGACCAGAAGCCUUAUCAGUAGGAUAAACAGUUGGUCAGCACAUAUUUUGUAUGUAUGUGUAUUAUACACUGUAUUCUUACAAUAAAGGAAGCUAGAGAAAGGAAAA